GUCCUCCGGGAAAUCUGAUAGCCUCAACUAUUAGGACUUUCGGGGGAUACUGCCAGACUUGGAACCGGGAGAGGUAAGAGGUACUACAGGGGUAGGAGUGAAAUCUUGUAAUCCCUGUGGGACCACCUGUGGCGAAGGCGUCUUACCAGAACGGGUUCGACGGUGAGGGACGAAAGCUGGGGGCACGAACCGGAUUAGAUACCCGGGUAGUCCCAGCCGUAAACGAUGCUCGCUAGGUGUCAGGCAUGGCGCGACCGUGUCUGGUGCCGCAGGGAAGCCGUGAAGCGAGCCACCUGGGAAGUACGGCCGCAAGGCUGAAACUUAAAGGAAUUGGCGGGGGAGCACAACAACGGGUGGAGCCCUGCGGUUUAAUUGGACUCAACGCCGGACAACUCACCGGGGGCGGCAGCAAUAUGUAGGCCAAGCUGAAGACUUUGCCUGAAUCGCUGAGGAGUGGUGCAUGG
rnacentral:rRNA from 1 species